UAAUUGAGCUUGUGGCUUUUGACAGCUCAGAGCUGAAAAAUGCAAGACUGCUUACCUAGCAUUUCUCCAGUUUUUGAAGUAACCAGACUCAGUGCGAAUAAUAAUCGUUUGGAAUGUCAUCCUUUGAUGACAACGAAUAACUUCAUAUUCCAAAACCAAAUUUCCAUAUGCUAAAAAGACUCUGCAAAGAUGAUGAAAUGAAAGAUUAUGAAUACAAAGGAAUACUUCACCUGUCCUCUUGUCUGGUCUCAAUACCAAAGAAAACCCAUUUGGAAUAUAGUAUUACCACAAAUUUUACCUGUCAUAGGAAAUACUCCACCAUGGUGAACUUCCGAGGGCCCGAUGCUUUAAGAGAAAGACAUGAGGCCUAAGACUGAAAUGAGGUUGUUUUGAGGUCAUCUGAUUUCUGACUAGAAGGUGUGAGAUCUCAUCGUCCUGAAACCACUUCAAACAGAAUGGUUUGCAAAUUUUUUUGGUGAUGGCAUGUUCAGAAUCUUGGAUCCUUAUAUUGAAUGUUUUGGAAAAUGUUAACAAUAUCUAGUAAUCCUGAAAAUAAUUUUAUGUACAUUUUAUUUGUUUAUAUAUAGGUAAACCAGUAGCUUUAAUAAAAUGUAACAAAGGAAAAGAUACCGCAGUUUUGUAAGUUCAUGAUGUUGCUAAAUUAUCAGUUGAUGUGCAUUUAGAAAAUGCAUUUAAUUAUUCCCUAGAGACUGACCAGUCCAGGCUUUGAGAUUCCUUGUUUUUCUCUCCUCCCAACUCUCUUUUGGAACCUCUAUUUUUCCUGUUUAUUAAGCCUCUUUUCUUCUCCACACUGUCAGUGUAGGACACUGGAGUCAAUGAUAAUUGGUGAGGAAAAAAAUCAGAAAAUGACAAUUUGAAAGCUGAAUGGUGGCAAUAAUAUAGUUAUUGCUAGAAAACUGCCUCAGAAUAGACCUUGUACAUUGAGACUAUCCAAAUUAUAUCCAAAAACACAAGACUAAAUUGCAUUCAACACUUAGAUUAUCCUUGAUCAUGCAGAAUAACAGUGUGAAUCAACAAGGAGAAAAAUUAAAUUUUUGGUUUCACUUCAUCCCCAUAGUUCAUCUUUUGGUAGAUUGGUUAAUGAAAAAUGAGAUGACUUAGUAGAGAAUAACAUUGAAACUAAAAAGGAAAAUUAAAAAUUAAAAGCAAUCCCCAAAGGUUAGAUUAUGACCCUGAAUGAAAAACUGACUGAAUUUCAUGUUCUUGAGGUGUGACUAUCAAAAAAUCCUAGAGGAGGCCACUAAACUGGAGGUCUGUGAACCAUUUCUUAAGUAGCCCUUGAAAAUGUGGAGCAAAGAGAUUUGCAAAUUACAUGUUAAGGGUUAAUAAAGUACAGUGGUAUUCAGGGAAUACUGUAUAAGUGGUGAGCAUGCCAGUUAUUAGGCAUGUUUAUCUGCCUUGAGAGUUCCUUUGAUCAUGAAGGGAUAUUAAAAAAGCAGGACAGUUUAUUCUUUAUGAGGACUGUAGAUAUUUUAGUUCUUGUUUGUUUCAAUGGAAAGGACUUUAACUUUGUGCCAUAGGCUUUGCUAGGCUCUGGAAUUUCACUAAUUAAAAAAAAAAGUCCCCAUUCGUUACGAGCUUAAAAAAAAACAAGGAGGCAAAGGUACAUCUAUCAGUAUAUGUGUAAUUAAAUAUAAAUAAAUACAAAGUAAAAUAUUUGGUAAUUUUGUUGGGGAGGCACUAUCACUUAGAGGGGUGGUCUAGAAAGACUUUAUAUAUGAAGUGGUGCUUAAGCUGGGCUAAAGGAAGGCAGAUUCCGUGAACAGGAAGGAAGUGGAAGAGUCUUCCAAAUAUGAGAUGUCUAAUGAAAAGGCAUGGGGAUGAAAGAGGAUGUAACUCAUGAGCCACAGAAGGAGGGACAGUUUCGUUGGUUUGAAGCCUGUGGGAGAGGCAGUAAUGUGUAGUAAGGCUGGAAAGAUCAGCUGAGGCUUUUUGUGAAAGCUUUAAAUGCCAGACUCUGAGGAGUUUCUAUUUUAUCCUGGAUGCAAUUUCUAUUUUACCCUGGAUGCAAUAAGUCUUAUCCAUAAAGGAAUAAGACUCAUUGCCAUAUCCAGAAAGAAUGAAGUCAAGCAAGAGUGGAUGGUUUGUGUCAGAGACUCAUUUAAAGUCCCUUAAUUUCUAUAGGAUAAGAGUACAUACAGGUAAAGCGACACCCUAGGGAGGGAAAAAUUUUUAGAGUCAAGAAAUCCAAGACUUGAUGGCAGUUGAGGGCGUAUUUGCAGGUCUGGUGCUACUUGGAGAUGUAGGUAUGGCUAUUCUUUGAAAUUGUUAAAUACAUGCUGAUAGUGUGCUGAAUCUGUUUUGGAAAUAGGGAUUAGGUUCAAGUAAUGUUACUUUUUAUAGAGGCCUUCAUUAGAAGCACCUGUAUUUUUAAGAUAGGCUUAGUGUGAAGAAUGUAGUGUUACUGGCUUCUUGACUACUAAAGAAAUUGUAGCUACUGGGUAGUUGUUCAGGCAGGUUUUACCUCAGUUGAAUUGUUUAGGGUAAUGCCAAAGAGAAGAAAUUAUUUAAAUAUCAACUUUUUUCUUCUUUUUUAGAAUAGUACCCCUCCUUUUUGCUAAACAUACAAAAUUUUAUCCAUUGAUGUCCUACUUUUAGAUUUCAGCUUGGCGAGCAAAAUACAGUUGUGUUCCUUCAUAAUUUUUACUUGCUUUAUUAAUCCUCACUCAUAAAAGUUCAUGUUGGAUAGACUUCAGGGAGUGUGGAACCUUGGAUGGGUUGGUGGGUGGAGAAUUGCACCUUUAUUUCAAUAUGGUUAUUUUCCUUUGUAAUUUUAUGAAUAGACUAUUCUGAGAAGGGAUCCAUAGACUUCUCCUGAUUGACUAUCAAAGACAUCCAUGUUUAGAAGUUUAAGAAGUCCCAAUCUUGGUCAUCCUGCUUUUUUAAAAGAAGAAAAGAUUUUUAAAAAAAUAAAUAAAGAAGAAAAGACCUAGAACCCAGGGCUAUUAGAGCUUCCUCAAGUGAAAACCACACCCUAGAGCCUGGGUGUCCAUUUGUUCUUUUCUACUUACCUUGUAUUGCUAUUCAUACUUGCAUUUCGUUUUCCCAGUAGAGACAUUAUAAGGAUUAAAGCAGUAAUGUAUAUAUUAAACCUUUUUAAACUUUUGGGGAAGAAUUCUAUUAUAUAAAUCAGUCAGGGUUUUUUUUUUUUUUAAUCCAGUAUGAUCGUGGAAUGUCAAGAAUUAGAAGGGAAUUGAGAAGUUAUCUAUUUUAACCUAUGCUUGAGUAGGAAUUCCCACUACAAGAAGUUAUUACUUAGCUUUUGGUUGGAAAGACUUCUUGUGUUUGAGAGUCCACUAUUUGUCAAGUAGACCAUUCUAGUUUUGAGACUACUUUGGUUAUUAAAAAUUUUUUCCUUAUGUGGAACAAAAAAGUCUGUCUUGAACUCCUAUCUCUGAGGCCUCGCUGCUUUCUGGGGCCAAAGCAUAUCUGAACUGGCUUUCUAAUGAGAAUUCUUCUAAAAUGAAUGUCUAGUAGCCCCACACCUUCUUGUCUUCAGGCUGCACAUUGCUUAUUUUUUGGACUAGAUCUCAUAUUUCUGGCUUUGUAAUUAUUCCCUCUCAUCAUCCUGGACUCCCUCUUCUGGAUAUGUUCAAAGAUUUCAGUAAUUUUAAUAAAAUGAGGAGCUGGGAAUGGAAGAUGAUAUUCCAGAUAUGCACUGGCUUGUGCAGUAGAUAGAAAUGUUCUGGGUCUGGAUUAAUGGGACUUGAAUAUAAAUUCAACCAUGGCUAUUUCUCAAGUGUAUUACUGUGGGCAAGUCAUUUAACCUCUUGUUUUCCACAGUUUCCUCAACUUUAAAAUGGAGAUAAAAAGAGUAUCUAGUUCAUAAGCACAAUGCUUGGCACCAAGUGCCAGCACAUAAGCACUAAAUAAAUGUUAGCUGUCAAUAUCAAUCAGUUUGUUAAAGUUGAAAAGAACUUUAGACUUUGAGGCAUGUAGGGGAUAACAGUGCAACUGGAAUAAACUUUACCUGGUCUAGUGUUUUUCCAUCAUGAGAUGGAUACAUUGACCCAUCAAACUUAACAUGUCCUAAAGAUAUCUAAUCUGUUAUCCCUGAACCUACUCCUAUUCCCAACUUCUCUGUUUUUGUUAAUAGCAUCACAAUACACCUGAUCCAGGCCCCAGACCUCCAAAGAUUCUUUGACUCCUCCUAUUUCUCACCUUUAACAUUUCAUCAAUUGUCACAUCCUAUCUGUUCUACUUCCAUAAGAUUUCUUGAAUCUAACUCCUCAAUACUGAUAUUACCGUCAUCUUAGUUUGGUCCAUUAUCUCUUAUCUAGAUAACGGUAAUAGCCUCUUAACUUUUCUCCCUGCCUUCAACCUUUCCCCACUACAAUCCAUCCUUCAUACAGCUUCAAAAUCCCUAUAAAAUCAUUUUUUAGGUUGAAGCAGGGUGAACUCAGUAAAUGCCUCCCCUGGGCACCCUGUGUGACCCUGGGCAAGUCACUCUCUAUUUACUUCAAAGUGGAGAUAAUAAAAGAACCUACUUCUCAGGAUUGUUUUGGAGGGUCAAAUGAAAUAAUAAGUUAAAAAGUGCUUAAGAUAGUGCCUGGCACAUAGAAAGCACCACAAUAAAUAUUAGCUAUUAUUAUAAAAAGAUUGGUGCUUUAGGGAAAUAUCCAUUUGAUAGUGGUGUGGAAGAUGCAAUACAGUGGGAGAAACUAACAAGGAGACAAGUUAGGAGAAUAUUAAUGAUAGUACAGACAAAAAAAUUUUCAAGUCUUCAACUAUUCUGGUGGUCAUAUGAAUAGAGAAGGAACAAAUGGAUGUUUUGUGACAUUAGCAUCCAUAGUUGACAGCUAGUUGAUUUUAUGGCGGGUGGGGAAUAAUCAGUAGUCAAACAAAGACUGACCACAGUCGCAGUCUAGCUGACUGGAAAGGAUGGUGGUGUUCUUAACAGAAGUAGGGAAUAAUGGGGCAAAGAUAGUGAAUUCUAUUUUGGACAUGUUGAAUCAAAGAUGCCCAUCGGACAUCCAAGUAGAGGUUUGGCCCAGGCAAUUGGCAGUUCAGAACUAGAGUUGAGUACCAGAUAUGUAGAUUUGGGAGUCUUAUUUAAUGACCCCUUUGUAGCUAAUGAAAUCCUCAGGAGAGUGUGACCAGAGGAGGCCCUAGAGUAAGUCCCUGGGUUUACUUAGGCAUGAGGAACAGGAAAUAGAUGAUGAUCUAGCAAGACAAACUGAAUUUGUAGUCAGGAAGACAGUUGGCAAAGCAGAGGUGUAGGACAGGUUCUGUCAGGAGAAAAGUGAUCAAUAAGUAUCAGUUACAGAAAGUUCUAGAAGAAUGAGUGCUGAGCAAAGGCCUUUGGAUUUAGACAUUAAGAGAGUUUGGGGCAACUUUGUUAUAAGCAAUUUCCAAUUAAUGGGUAAAUAGAAGUCAUAUUGUAAAAGUUUUAGAAGUGACUGGGAGAAUAGGCAUCAAUGGCAAAAGGUUGAAUAAAUGGCUUUGACAAUGAAAGAGAAGAAAUGGCAGUGGGGUCUAAUGAAGGAGUUUUGGUGGUGGUGAUUUUUUAGGGGUUGGGGAGUCAUGCUGUGUUUCCCAAAGUUGAGAGAGAUCUGGGCAUAUGUGUAGAAAGUAGGGAAAGGGUCAGUGGAAAAAGAAAGAUGAGGCAGGAGUAAUAAGACCUUUUUGGUAUGACAUGGACUGCUUCAUAGUCUGAAUGAAACCUUUUGACUCCUCACAAUGGUUUUGUGAAACACAUAUAAUAAAAGAAUUACAGUGGAAACCAAUUAUAUAAAAAUACAGUUAAUUUUUUGAGGUUACUGACUCCAAAUGAGGAAUCCUUGAUCUAAGAGGAGGGUCUGGGAGGAGGUCAAGGAUCAAGGAGGAGGGGUUCAAAGGCAUGAAUAAUAAAGGGGUUGACCUUGUCAAGGAAAAAGAACUCUUUUUUGCUUGUCAUAAGGGGAUAGAAUAUUGAGGUAGAAAAUUGGGGAAUUGUUGGUGAAGUCAGCUAGUGAGGGAGGAAUGUUUUAAGAAGAGAAGGUCUGGAACAUCCUCUGUAAGAAGCAAUUAUCAAGCUGGGAUAGAUUAUACCUCAUAAUUUUUGUCCGGUUAUCUCAGGAAUAUGACUUAAUUUCAUUUGUGUGAGAUUUGAUCUCACACAUGAUGAAUAAAAUCUGAUUACGACUAGUCAACCUAAUAAUAGGGCUAUGAGUUAAUAAUUCAUUGUGAAAAAAAGUUUGAAAUAAAAUUGGAUAUAAAGUAUCCUUCAUAGAAUCCAUAAGUUCUAUGAAGUUUUUGUACCCUCAGUGCUUGGUGAGUGACUAACACAUAGUAUGCUUAAUAAAUAUUAGUUGACCUGAUUUGAAGCACUGGCAGGCAAAUAAAACUAUAUUUAGAAUUACUAGAAGACAAUCAAGGUAUUAAGGAAUUCACUUCUGUUUGUGAAGAGGAGUCAGGAGAGACUUAGGCUUAAAGUUCUUAUUCUGAUAGAUAAUAACCUGGUCACUGUUGGCAACUUGCUUCUGGUUCUCAACUUCCUUAUUUAUUUAUUUUAAAAAAUAGAACUAUUUACCCUCCCAGGAAUAUGAGGAAAGAAUUUUAGAAACUAUGUGCAAGCACAAGCAUUUAUAAUAGUAUGAUAUAUAGCAUAUCUAAUUUAUGAAUUAUAUGUAUGUAUAUCACUUGUAUUAAAUAAUUUUAUAAAUUUAGUGGAAUGGCAAGAAGGACCAGUUGUACCUACAUGCUUUACUGAUAUAAUUGGCCAUCUCAGUACCUGAAUUCUCCCUUAAUGCUAGUGUGAUUAUCUGCAAUUUAUGUGUGUGUGUUGAUUGUAUGUGGUUAUUUUUGUCACCCCCCCCCAUUAGAUCUUAAACUUUUGAGGGUAAAAAUUGACUUUUGCCCAUUUUUGUUAUUCCUAACACUUCAUACACAUAGCAGUAGUAGUAAUAUUAUUAUUGAAGCAGUAGUUUUUUCUACUUUUUAUGAGAGAUGUUUGGUAUUUGUUUUAUAUGUGUGUAUUAAAUAGGCUUUUUCUAGGUUAUUUUGGAAAUCUUAUCACUAUGUAUCACAUUGUUUAUAUUGAGAAAAAGAAUUCUAAGUUCCAAAAAGAUUGACUCAGAAGCAAGCCUUUGGAACAAGACUGAUUCAUUAGUUUGGGGCUUAAUUUAUAGUAACUCUUAGUUAAUUAAAAUAUUAGAUUAGUUUUCUUAAGUCUUUUUUUCCAAAUCUAACUUUGCUAGAGGAGGCAUUCUGCUUUCUUUAUAUUUCUCAUAGUCUAAGAAGACGGGCAUCUGGCUGGGGCAUGUACAUGACGUACUUGCUCUUUCUAGGAAUGGUUCAGGAAAACUCAAAUAAGUGUGGAAAACUGAGAAGUAGUCUUUCUCAUAGUAGAAUAUCUAAUGUAAAUUUUUGUAGGUUGGAAAAUAAAUGUGGUACAUACAAUUUAAUAACUUAAGAGAUUAUAAAGUUUUCUACCUGCCAUAAAUUAUCCUAUUCAUUUUGGAUCAGUGAUGGUGAACCUAUGGCACAGGUGCCAAAGAUGGCACUCAAAGUACUCUCUGUGGGCACAUGGUUGCCCUCCUCUCAUCCAAUCCCCAGAGUUCGUUAUUAGAAAGGCAGAGGGACUUGGUCAGAGCUGCUCCCCUCCCUCUCUGCACAGCAGCCCAAUGGGAGCACUUUCUCCAUCCCCUAUGUUGGGUAAAGGGGGAGCAGAAAGCUCCCGGCACUCUUGGGGGGUCAUAGCAUAAGUUGGGGGGGGUGGGCACAUCAUUUUGUCUCUAAAAGGUUUGCCAUCACUGCCUUAGAGCUCUGAUGUAGAGCUGGAUUAUUAGACUGAUACAUGGUAUUGGAAGCAUUUUAAAAUGAGGAUGAUUUUGUCCAUCUGUAUAUAUAAUGCUGGGGAAAUUUUUUGGGUUAAAGAAUUCUUUCAUUUUAUUACAUUCUUUGCUUUGACAUCCCUUACUAGUAGCAAUUUGUUAGCUGUUGCUGGAUGGUGAUUGACAGUUUUUAGUUCUAUAUUUACAACUAUUUAUAGCUAUUACUACAACCAAAAAUCUAAAACUAAGUUGAUGUUUUUAAUAUUAAAAUGUAUGAAAGGGGUCAGUGAAGUGGCUCAGUGGAUAGAGAAUGAGGCCCAGAGAUGAAAGGUCCUAUGUUCAAAUCUAUCCUCAAAUACUUCCUAGCUGUGUCACCCAGAGCAAAUUACUUAACCCCCAUUGCCUAGCCCUUAUUACUAUUCUGCUUUGGAACCAAUACUUAGUAUAAAUUCUAAGAUAAAAGGUAUGGGUUUUUUUUUUUUUAAUAUGAAAGAGAUUAGUACAUAGUAACACAAAAACAUGUAGUUUUUUAUAUUCAUUUCCUCACAAGAACUAUAAGUUAAGUCAGGGCAUAUAUAAUUUUUCUUUUUUUUUUUUUUAACAGAUAAGGAAACUGAGGCUUAACAAAGAUAAACAAGUGGAAGGUCAUAGUUUAAAAGUGUACAGCUAGAUCAGAGCUGUUCUGAUUUUACAUGGAGAAACUCAAAAUGAAUUGUCAUUGUGACAUGGCAGCCAAAAAAGGUAAUGUUCUUCUAGGCUGCAUUAAGAGAGUCACAGUGGCUAGUCCAAGACAGGAAAUAGUCCUGUUGUCCUCUGUCUUGCUUACACCAUAUUUGGAAUAUUGUGCUCAGUUCUAGGUGUUAGUAAUAAUGAUGAUUAUGAUAACUAACAUUCAUAUAGAACUUUGUGCUAGACCCUGUGCUAAAGCACUUGAUAGUUAUUAUCUCAUUUGAUCCUCAAAAUAACCCUAGGAGGAAGGAAAGUGCUAUUAUUAGCCUCUUUUUAUAGAUGAGAAAACUGAGAAUAAUGGGUUAAAGUUGCAAAAAAGGAAAUAUCAGUUAUAUUCAAGGAGAAUUUUCUGACCAGUAAAUCUGUCUGAAAGUGGAGUUUACCUUUUUAUAUUUUUAAUUUUUAUAUUUUUUAAAACCCUUACCUUCCAUCUUAGAAUCAAUACUGUGUAUUGGUUCCAAGGCAGAAGAGUGGUAAGGGUUAGGCAAUGGGUGUUAAGUGACUUGCCCAGGGUCACAGAGCCUGACUCUAUCACCUGACCCUGUCACAGAAUGUCUGAGGCCAGAUUUGAACCCAGAAUCUCCCGUGUCUGGUCCUGGCUCUCAAUCCACUGAGCUACCCAGAUGCCCCCCAGAGUUGUCCUUCUUGCCAACUAGUGGGUUCUCACUCUCCAAAGGUUUUCAAAUGGAGGCUGGGUAACCCUUUGGCAAUGAUAUUUUAAAUAUUAUGGAACAGGAGUAAUUUGGACAAUACAUACCUAUGUACACACACUUCAUAUUUUCCAGACCAAAAUAUUUUUGACAGGAUCUUUUUUUCUGUACAUUAUUAAAAAUACAUUUUCUCUCCUGAACUGGGACUGUCUUAGAUUUAUGCUAAUUGUACUAUACCAACAGAAAUAUGGAUCCAGAAUUAACCGGAUUAUUUAUAGGAUGAAACCCUGCCUACUCAUUGUUCUUUCCACUGUUUGAGUAUUUUAUUUUGUAAGUUAAUUUGGGUAUUCAUAAACACUUUUUCCAAAAUGAACAUUUUCUCAUUUAAAUGUAUCUCAAAAAUACAAUCCUAAGUGUAAUUUUAAUUUUAUCAACCUCAAAAUAUUUUAGGAAUAUGUCCUAAUUUUUAAUAGUAAUUUAGAGUAUUAGAUUCUGAGAUGUAGAAAUGUCCUUUGCAAAUAACCAUUUAGUAAUAUGUCAUAAAUUAUCAUCUUCAAUCUGACUUCAUUUUUCUUCUUCCAGAUUCCUGAGCAUAAUCUCUUUUCUGGCGUAUCAUUAAGACAUUUUCGAGUUUGGAAAAAAUUAUUUUCUAAACAUGUUGCCAACAUAGAAUGAUUCUAUUAAUGUAUUGCUUUUAACUACCAGAAGACAACUUCUUUUCAAAUGUGUAAAUGUUGCAUCUUGAGGGGAUUUACUAGUCUCCAUAUUGAAAUACUAUUUGUCCUUGUGUGCUAUUUAUUAGAACUUUUUUACAAAGUACAGCUCAGCUUAGAAGAUCAUUGCUGAAAAAUCAAGACGCCUGAAGGAAUCACACCUUGAAUUAUUGGAUUUGCUAGAGAGAAGAAUAUCAGCAGAAUAACAAAAUCAAAAUUUUGAAGAUAUCUUAAGCAUCUUCAGUAUCACCCUAGGUCAUAGGCAACCCUUUGUUUAGAAGAAUAUGUAAUUAAAGAAACUUUUGUGACUCUAUAGAAACUUUGGUAUAGGUUGGUUAGGGAAAAUAGAUGAAUGUUAUCAACAUAAACAUGGAAUUUCAGUUUGAAACCACUUACUAUCUUAAUUUAGAUAUGCCUUCUCUUUUUUCUUGAUCCAGAUGAUUUUGUAAAAAUCAAUAGAGCUAGAACAAUCUAAUCCCCAAGACAUGUCUUUAAAAAAGAAAUAAUACCAUAUAGUCUGUGCUGUAUGUUUUCUACAUUAAUUGGGGGUAGAGGAAGGAAUAUGAAGGAAAAGUUGCUUGAGCCUUUCAAGGUGUCUAUAACUGAAAAUAAUUUUUAUCUUGCAUUUAAAGAAUGCUUUUUGAACUUCUCUCUGAGGGCAGCUAGGUGGCUCAGUGAAUAGAAAGCCAGGUGUAGAGAGAUGAGGUCUGGAUUCAGAUCUGGCUUUGUACACUUUCUAGCUGGUGUGACCCUGUGCAAGUCACUUAACCCCCAUUGCCUAGCCCUUAACACUCUUUUGCCUUGGAAGUGAUACUUAGUAUUGAUUCUAUGACAGAAGGUAAGGGUUAAAAAAACAAAGCUUGUCUCUAUUCAUAAUUGGAAUCUUUUAAUUUGACAUUUCCCUUAUGUACAGUAUUUCCCAAAAUAAGAGACUAUUAUAACAUAGUGCAUUUGCCAUAGGUCUCAACAUUUCCAUUGUAGAUGAAUAAGAGGGAAAAUUAGGGCAAAAGCCUCUAAAAACUUAAUUCUUGACUUAUUUAGCUGAUCUCUUUGGGUCUUUAAUUAUAUCCACAAUAACUUUACAAAGAUCUUCUCUUUUAAGAUUCCCAAUUAUGUACAUGUAAGCAGUUGGGGAAAGAAUAUCCCUUAUCCUCUGUCCUUUAGUCUUAUAUCAUGGUUAGAUUUUUUUCCUGCUCUUGUGAUAACAAUACCUUACCUAUGUAGAUUAAAAAUAUGCAAAAAGUAGUUUAUAUUCUUAUUUGAUCUUCAAAACAGUCAUAUGAGAUAAGUGCAUACUGAAUAAUCUGUAUUUUGCAGAUGGGGAAACUGAGACUUAGGGUCAUGCCAAAAAGCAGGGUUUGAAGCUAGGGAUACCUGACACCAUCACUAGCAUUCAGGAUACCCAUAAUCUGUCACCUACUCCCCCAUUCAUUGAUCUCUCACUCAUUGAUCUCCUAUGAACAUUGCCAAACUUUAGAGUUAUAAUGGAUUCUCAGUUGCCCUGUUAUCUUCUGAUAUACUUUUUUAUAUGUUUUAGUCCUUUGAUGUGAUCAGCCUCUAUUCUUCUAUUUAUGAGUAGACUUGGAUUGCAUUCCUGGAUUAAGGAUAAUGUGGACCAUUGCGGAAAAUCACCAUACUGUGUUUAAAAUGACAAAAAAAAAAAAGAAUUCUACUCUUGAAAGGCAUGGUUUUCCACUUAAUCCCUUUUUCUUGUCUUUAUCUCUCCCCUCCCCUCAGCUCCUGCUUAUUUAAUGCUAUGAAUGGAAUAUAUCCACCUAAUGGAAUAGUUGAACAAAUAUGGUAAUUUCUUGGGUAGAAGGGUGAUGGUGUUGGGUAUUCUUUCUAGUUGUCCAUAAUGUGAAUAAAAAUUUUAAAUCAGUAUUUAUCAAUUUCAGUAUUUAGAGUUUAUGUUGUAAAACAUUUCCCCCAAAAUUUGGAUGAAUCAUUUGUAAAAAUUGAGCAUUGAUUAUACAUAUAUGCAUAACUUUUUCUAUAUUCUUUUGUAUGUUUACAAAGAUGUGAACUUAUAAAAGAAAUGAGAGGAUAUGACAAGUUCCUUUACAAUAUUCAAAUUAUAUUAAUUUAGAAAAAUUCACUGUAUACAAAUUUUAGAAAUAUUCAUGCAAUGUCAGUUAUAUUAGUAUGUAAAUUAUAUUGUCUGGCUUGUUUUAAUAAAAAUGAUCAAGUGUAAUUUGAAAAGUUAUGACUUUACAUUUUUUUUUUCCUAUGGAAAAAUUUUUGAUUGUACAGAUUUACAUAAAGACUAAUGCCAUUGUUUUUUGUUUAUAAAAGUCUUAAAACAGGCUCUUUGUAUUUUCUCCAGCAGGAAUUUUAAUUACUUUGAGGUAUAAUUAUCUAGUAUUUCUAUAUAAAUUGAAUUGAUUGAGACUGCAAAAAACAAACAUUUUAGCUAUUCCUAUGUAGCAAAUUUUCUAUCUAAAUAAAAUAGAUUCAUUCUUUUAAAGAAAAAUGCCUUUAGUAAUUUAGUAUUUUCUGAAAAAGACUCAAAAUAUGCUCAAGGUGGUGGGGAAAUAAACACUUAUUUUUAUUUAUAUCUGCAAAUAUGAAUCAUUACUUCAUAGUUGAUGUCUCAUGGUAAAUAAUCAUUUUCCAAAGUUUCAGUAAAGUAUAAGGUAUUAACAUGAAAAGCAUGAAUCUUUAAAAAGUCAGACUGUUCUACAAACUAUAUGAGGAGAACCUUUAAGCUUUUAACUUCUUAAUGCUUUUUGGUUAUUAGUAUAGUACCCCAGCCUUUUAGUACAGUUCCUAGCAUAUAGUAAGUGCUGAUUAAAUGCUUAUCCACUGACUUGGUAGUCAGUAGUCUUUUAGCUGAAAAAAUAACUGAACAAGUCUGAUUGAUUUUAUUUUCAGUGCCAUAUAUUUUGCCUCUAAUUUUUAUUUUUCCUUUUUGAUUACUAUUUGCUGGUAGUCUCCAAUUUUUAACAAACAUCAAGUGUGCAAAUCACUUUUCUAGGCACUAGGGUACAUAAAUAAAAAGGAGACAUCCUCUCCUUAGGGAGACGCCAUUCUAUUUGGGAAAGGGCCAUACAAUAUACACCAGAACAAAUAAAAAUGCAUUGCAAUUUGAGCAGGGAGAGAAAAUCACUGGGAUCAUCAGGGAAGACUGACCAGAGUUAAAAUCUGAGUUGAGCCCGAAAAGUAGGAUAAAGGAUUCUGAGAAGCAGAGAACAGAGAGUAAAUCUAAAACUAGGAGAAUGGUUUAUAUAAUAAAUUCACAUGGUUAGGAGAUGGAAUGUCAAGUUUAGGCAACUACUGUAGUUUGGUUUGACUUAAGAGUAGGAUAUGUGAAAGAGUAAUGAGGGAAAUAAAGCUAUGAAAAAUGGGUUGGAGCCACAUUGUUUGAUUCCCAAAUGACAGAUUAUCUUUCUAGGGGAAAGAGAAGCCGCCAAAGGUAUUUAAACGGUGAGUAGUAAUGUCAGAUGUGCAUCAGGAAGGUUAUUUUGGCAUCUGGGUCUGGGACUAUAAGAUUUUGAUUUCAUUUUCUUCUAUGUUCCAACACAUGUGUUGAAAAACAUGCAAGAAAAUGAGAUCAAAAUCUUACAGUCUGCAUAGAGCCCUAAUAACCACAUUGGGGCAGCUAAGGUGUAUAAUAGUUGGAGGACCAGACCUACAAUCAGGAAGACCCGAGUUCAAAGGCAGCUUGAGAUACUAGUUUUGUCACCAUAGGCAAAUAACCCCUUUUUGCUUCAGUUCUUCAUCUGUAAAAUGAGGACAUGCUGGAGAAGGAAAUGACAAACCACUCCAGUAUCUUUACCAAGAAAAUAAGACUCAAUAACAACAAUAAUACCUAAGUACUAGUUCAAUUCAGCUUUGUUCUAGACACUUCUGGGUAUUAGAGAUACAAAGACAAAAGCAAAGUAGUUCUUGCCAUCAAGAAUCUUGGGGGAAAUGUAUGUAAGGAUGAAAUAAUUUCAGUACAAAGAAAUAACUGGAGGGAUCAGGAAAGGCCCCCCAUUAGAACUUUAUGCCUAAGCUAUGGGCAUCUGGGUGGUAUGGAGAGACUGCUAGGCCUAAAGUCAAAAAGACCCUAGUUCAAAUCCAAUUUCAGACACUAGUUUGUAUGACUAAGCAAGACACUUAACCCUGCUUUGCUUCUGUUUUCUCAAAGUCUGUAAAAUUAGCUGGAGAAGGAAAUGGCAAACCACUCUUAUGUUUGCUAAGAAAACCUUAAAUGGGAUCUCAAAGAGUUAGACAUAACAGAAAUGACUGAACAACAACCUGAGCUAUUCUUUGAAGGAAACUAGUAAUUCUGAGGCGGGUGAGGAUGAAGAACUCCAGGCUGAUGGGACAGCAUAGAAGUAAAGGAUAGGUUGUCCUGUCUGAGCAACAACAAGUAAACCAGUUUGGCUGAAAUGUAGAGUGCCUGAAGGGAUUAUUAUUGAGUCAACUGUAGUUGAAUUGUGAAGGGCUUUAAAUCGCAGAUAGAGCAAUGUGUAUUUUGUCCUAGAAGCAAUAGGGAGCCUCUGAACCUUCUUGAACUGGAAUAUGAAAUAAGAUAUGUACUUUAGGGAUAUCACUUAGGGAGCUUUUUUGAGGAUAAAUUGCUUUCAGAAAAGAGUAGAGAGGUACUAGAUUUGGUGAACACCAAGUAAUAAUAUCACAAAUGAUGAAAUGACUUGUCAAUUUGCAAAUUGUUCUUGGAUCAAUUUGAUACUGAUGAUAUUUGAUAUUGAUGAAUUUGAAUCUUGGAUCAGCAAAGAUAAAAAUACCAAAUUAAAAGAAAUUAGAUAGAUGUACAAUUGAGGCAACUAGCUUAACUUAUUUUUUAAAUAUCUUGACAACAAAAAAAUGGAAAAGUGGCAAAACUGAUAAAGAGCAGUGUAGACUAUUGCCAUUUCCUAAGGAAGCAUAAUGUAAACUCAUUUGCCAUUGUGAGGAGAUCAAAAGAAUCAAAGGACCCUCUUUAAUCAAGAAAGAGAUCUUGCCAAGUAGAUGUGGUAGCAAAGGGCAAUGACAGGUUCAGGAAACAUGUUUGUUUUUAAGUCUUGGAGAUUAGAAUUAAAUGUUUUUGAGCAGCAGACAAAUAUAAAAUGUCAAGGAGAAGCAAAUCUUGAAAAAUGUUUAGAGGGAGCCUUGUGUAAGCCAGAUCAUCCCAAGAACAUUUAAAGCUAACACUGGAAAGAAGGAAGAUGAAAAAAAUCUAAUUUAUCAUAACUUUUUUUCCUUCUUACUUGACUAUGAAAUCACCAUAUUUCAAAGUACUCCAUGAAAAAAUAGAAAAAAAUGUAUUAUAUGGAGAAAAAACUUAGCAAGAUAACACUGAAAAACACUAGAAAGCAAAAGAAGAAAUGGACCUUUCAUAAAAAUGGCAAACUGUCUCAUGAAAACUAAGCAUUUUCUUCUGUAAUGGAGAAACAUAGGCAAUUCCAGUAUGACUAUAAGUAAAAGGACUCUCAAUUUCAUUAUUUUAGUGAUAGGACAAGAAAAAGAUUGAGGGAAUAAGCAUAAACAAAAGAAAAAUAGUUGUAGCCAUGUAUAGAAGAUAGCUUGGUUUAUAGAGCCUUAAGCAAUUCAACAAAAAAAUUAAUUGAAAUAAAAUCUUUAUAUUAUGCUUCCUUAUUAAUAUAGCACAGCACAGAAUUAUCCCCUUCUCCAAAUAUCUAUUAAAAUCACAUUACUACAUAUAUGACUCAUGUUGUUCAGUCAUUUAGUUGUAUCUAACUCUUCAUGACCCAAGAAACUAGAAUGGUUUGCCAUUUCCUUCUCCAGUGGAUUAAGGUAAACAGGAUAAAUGACUUACCUAGGGUCACAUAGCCAAUGAGUGAAACCAGAUUUUAACUCGGGCCUUACCAGUCCCAGGCCCUGUGCUCAAUUCAUUGAGCCACCUAGCUGCUUCAAAUAUUGCUGUUACUUUAUUUCUACAUAUUACUAUCACAGUCAGCAGAAAGAACAAAAUACCAUUCAUUAUAAGUACAGAAUGUGGUAGGAGUCAAACUAUAUCAACCUACCCAAGGUGUGCAUACAAGUGUAUAUUUCACAGAAAUUAAGGCACAUGAAGAGAUAUUAAUUGCCUAUGUCUUGGCAAUGAAAAUAGAAUAUAGAAUGUAAUAAUUAUCUAAAUUAAUUUAUAGAUUUAACACCAUACCUCCCAAAAUGCUGAGAAAUUAUUUUACAGAUAUAAACAAAAUAUAAUUCAUUCAUAGGAGCAGAAGAUAAAAAAAAUAGCAGUUCAAGGGGCUUUUUAAGAUUUGAGGGGAUACUGUAAUAUAGUAAUACAAAUAAGUAUUGGUUUAAAAGUUAAGAAGUUGAUCAGUGGAAUAGAUUAUGUCAACCAGGACCAGAAGCAAGGGAACAUUAUAUUCAGUAAUUUCCAAGGUCACUUUCUACUGGGUCUCCCUAUUACUAGUAGAUAAGAACUGCUAGAAAGUCUGCAAAGUGUUUGUUGAAAAUUAGAUUUAGACCAGCAAUUAUGCAAUAUGCUACAAUAUGGAAAUGUAGAUGUAUAUUCAAUAUACAACAAAUGGAUAUAUGACCUACAUGUAAAAAAGGCAUAUUGAAAAAAAAUUAGAAGAUGAAGAAAGGUUUUUCUUUUCUUCCUUUCAUAACAGAAGCCAGGGAAGAACUACAAAAGAGGUAGAGGUGAUGAUAAAAGACAAUGAAUAAUUUUGAUUAAACAAAAUUGAAAAGCUUAGCAAGUAAAAAAUUUAGGCCCAGAAAGAAGGGAAACCAUUUGAAAAAAAAAAGUCUUCACUGCAUAUUUCUCUGAUAAAGAUCUAAUAUCCAAAAUAUGUAAAGACUUGAUAUGAAUAUAUGAAAAUAAAGGCUGUUCCCCAAUGGUUAAAAUAUAUGAACAGGCAGUUCUCAAAUGGAGGGUAAGCUGUCAACCACUAUAUGGAAAAAAAUGCUCCACCAUUUUACUAAGUGCGAAUUAAAAUGACUGAAGCUUUGCCUCUUUCAUCAGAGUGGCAAAGUUGACAAGAGAAUAAAAUAGCAAUUGUUGAAGGAUUUGUAAAACAGACUCUAGUUGUUUUUGGUUAAGGUACAAAUUCAACCAUUUGGAACUACAUUCCAAAAGUUACUACACUAUACAUACCCAUUGUUCCAGUGAUAGUGCCAAGAAGUACCAAGUCAGGAGGAAAGCACUCACAUGUUAAUGAAUAUUUAUAGCAAUAUUUUUUUGCUAUAGCAGAGAGCUGGAAACAAAAAUGAUUUCCAUUAGUUGAGGAAUUGCUGAAUAAUAGCAUAUGAAUAUAAAAUGAUGUUAUUUCGUUAUAAGAAAUAUAGAAUGUCAUAGAUUCAGAGCAAAAUGGAGAGAUUUGUAUGAACUGAUUCAGAGUGAAAUGAACAGAACUAGGAAAAACAAUUGCAAGAAAACUGAAGGAUCUCAGAACUCUGACCAAAGAAUUGGCUAAUCUGCAUUUCAAAAGACAGCUGAUGAAACAGAUCUCCUAUCCCUUGGCAGAGAGAUGAUAGACUAAAAAAUACAAAGCCUAACAUGUUCUCAGACAUGACCAGUAGGUAGAUUUCUUUUUCUUGACUAUACAUUUGUUAUUAAAGGACUUCUCUGAGGGAAGGGCCAGUAGAGGAUUAAAAAAAUCAAUAAAGCAUUUUAAAAGGUAAAUAGAAUAGAGGGGAAGUGCUGAAGGAAAAUGAUUUGUCACCAUCUUGUUAAUCAUCUUAAAUAGAUGGUAUUUUUAAAAAAUAGUGUACAUGAAAGAAAGUUCUAGUUUCUCAUGGAGCUUUGUUUUUGGGGGGUGUAUUAAAAUGUUUGUGAUUGUUUAAUUCAUAAUUUUUUUAAAAGAUGAAAAGUAGCUGGCCUAGAACCAAGUAUACACCGGAGGGCUGUCCUGAAAGUAACAGUUUUCUAAGUGUAGAGAGAUCUAUUCUUAAGAUAUCUCAAAGGGAAUGAUAGUGCAAAAUGAAGGUCAGGAGAGUUGAGCAUGUUUAUUAGGCAUCAGAGAAGGAACGAAGAGAGAGAUUAUAAAACAGAAAAGGAGUAAUCAUUAGGGCAAAGUUCUGGAGUAGCUGCAAAGGAAUAAUAUCAAGGGCACAAGUAGAGGUGUUGGCCUUGGGAAGGAGAAAGGCCUCCUUUUCACAGACCGGAGUUAAGAAAGAAAGGCAUAUAAAGAUGUAGAAGAGUUUGGAUGUGUGUAGUAGGGGCGAUAAGGAACCUUGCCUUAAAAGGACUAUUUUUACAAUAAUCUAGAAGGUGUGGUUCUGUGCUGAGAGAGGAGUUUUUAUUGUCGAUCAGAGAAAAUGAAAGGAUUUUUAUGUAGUAAUGAAGACCCAGGUGAGAUUGGACAAAUAGAAAGCCCUGACCAAAAUCAGAAUACUUGGACCAGUGUGAUAUUGGACAAAUCACUUGAUCCACAAAUGGCCUCCAACUUUAGAUUUAUAGUUUUAUAUUCCUGAUCCAAUUUGUAAAGGACCCAUUCAGAAGAAUUGAAUGACUUCCUCUAGCAACAUGGAAAUAGAAAGGACACAUCUUAGACAAAGAUGUGUAUAAUUCUAAAUGUUGAACAGUGUGUAGUGGAUAGAGGGAAAUGAAGUUAAAACAGGGGUGUAAUAAUAAUAGCACUUUAAGAUUUAUAAUGGCUAUACAUAUAUUAUCUCAUUUAGUCCUCACAAUUACCCUAUGGUAUAGGUACUAUAACUUUUUUUCAUUUUACAGAUAAGGCAACUGAGGCAGACAGAUUAAAUGACUUAAGGUCACCAGCUAUUAAGUACCUGAGGCAGGAUUUAAACUCGGGUCAUGCUGACUCCAAUACUGGCAUUAUUCACUGUGCCAUUUAGCUGCCUAAAGGCUGUGGUGAGAAUAAAGAAUAGGCAUAAAAGGAUCGGAGAGAGUGAUGGAAAGACAAGAGACUUUUUUCAAAUAUUGGAAUUGCAGAAUUUGAAAUUACAGAAGUGUCACCAUUAUGGAUAAUGCUGAGAUCUAAGGGAUGGCAUUCUCUUCUUUCAUCUCUUCAAUACUUGUCCAAUCCCCUGUUUGGAAUUAAGAUAUAGGGUCUAGAAGUUAGAGUUGUUAAACUUAGGGUUCUUAAAUUGUUAAGCUGGCAUUUAUUGAACUACCAAUGGUUUCAGGGCACAUCAACAUGUAUACUGAAAUCCUCAAGGUCAAGGGUGAAGUAAGAAGUGUGAUCUGGAUGUCAAUAGAUAAGAGUAACCAAGAACAAGAUGGCAUAAUGGAGUUGGAUGAAAUGGACAGGAAAGAAAGAAAGAUUUCAGUGAAGGAGAAUACUAUUUCUUCCUUCUAGUCCAUUGUGUCAUGGAUGUCAGAGAAGGAGCAACCCACACUGGAUGGUUCUCUUGUCUUUUAGUGAGAUCCAGGUUUCAAGAAGUGCCUAAAGAUGUAGAGAGUAGGAGACGUAGAUUGAGGAUGAAAAGGAGCUUUGUAACACAGCCAGGAUUGUAGAACCAAAACUUUAGAAUUUAGAAACACAGCCAGGAUUGUAGAGCCAAGGCUCAUUUUCCCAUACUCUUAGCCUAUCCUGAUUUGUACGACGGUUUGGUGUGAGUUGAUUAAAAUAAUAGGAAUUAUUUAACCUAGAGAAAAUAAAACUAAACUUCUUCAUAUGUCUUACUUCACAUCUGUGAAAAAUUUGGACCACAUGGUCAUGGUCUUCAUUGCCUCUAUGGAUAGAAUGAGAGGAAGCUGGAAGUAUUUUGAAGGCAUUUUGUUUUUGGUAAAUUAUGAGAGCUUUGUGGAAGGCUACCAAAAAAGGGGAAGAGAUUCCAUUCUUGCACAUCUUCAAGAUAUUUCUUUAGAAAUAAACAUGCCAAAUAUUCAUAAAGAUAGGAAUUCUCUGAAAUGCAAUUAUACCAUGUACAUGCAUAUAUAUAAUUAUUAAUACUUUGUGGGAACCAAAACUAUAAGCAACUUCUAAGCUUUAUUAUUCAUUGUUAAUAAUAUAAUAGUCAACUUAUAUAGCAUCCAGGAACUGGGCUUAGCACUUUACAAUGAUUUAAUUUGGUCCUCAAAAGAACCCUAGGAAAUAUGCUAUUUUCCCCCCUACUUUAUGGGUGAGGAAUCUCAAGCAGAGAUGGGUGGCCUCGUCCAGGGUCACACCACUAAUAAGUGUCUAGGACUGGAUUGAAACUCAUUUUCCUGUCUCUAGGUUCAGCACUCUGUGCACUGACACCAUCUCUUGCUUUUAUCCUUCAUCUGCUUUCCACCUUCCUCAUCCUAUUGGACUUAUUGCUGAAUCCUCUUAAUUAACUAUACUUAUUUCUCUCAUGUGUAAAUGAAGUUUAUAUUUAGAAGGCAGUUAAAUGCAUACAAUAGAAAGAGUAUUGGAUUUGGGCUCAGUGUUACUCUGUCAUUUAACUUUUACCUCAGUUUCCUCACUUUAUAAAACGAAGGAAUUAAACUAAAUGACCUGAGAUACCUUCCAGCUCUAAAAUUGUGGUCCUGUGAAACCCAGAAAGAUGGGUUUGUUCCUUUUGUUUUUGUUUUUAGAAUCCUGCCAAAGAGUAUCUCCUCUUUGUUUAAAUUAGGGCAGUGUGAGAACCAAAUGAGGAGUUAUUAUUAUCUUCUUUGUAUCCUUUGCAUUCCUAAUACAACCACCAUCAUGGAGACCAAAUAAGAGAAUAAUUGUGGCUAGUAAGCACUAUGUAAAUGUUGGCUCCUCUUCUUACUCUUCUCCUUUCUCUUCUUUCUUCUUAUUGAUCUUAGUCCACAAAUCUAUUUUCAAGUCCCAGCUCUGAUUCUUCUACUUGUGUGCCUUUAUAUAGACCGAAGAAUUUGGAGUCAGAAGAACUGGCUUCUAAAUCUAGGUUUGGUAUUUACUUACUACCUCUGAAACCGCAGAAAACUUCCAUCAUUUCUCUUGAGUUUAGUUUUUCUAAGAUAUGGGAGAGGACUGCAUAAAUGUAUUCUUAAGGUAUUUUCCAAUAUACAAAUGAUGUUAUUAAAUAAAUUAGUUUCUCUGAGCCUUUGAUUCCUCAUUUCUAAAAUGUUGAUCAUUAUUCUUCCACUAUUUACUUCAUAGAGUUGUGAGUUCAUUUUUAUAGAAGAAUCCAUGUCUAAAGAGUUUCUUCCUCUCUCCCCUACCCCUUAAUUGUCUGACAGAUCAAAAGAAUAAAGUACAUUUGACUUUCUUUAUGUCUAAUCUGGCUUUUAAAAUGACUACCACCUUCCUUUUGAAAUAAAAUAAGGGAGAUUGAAGUUAAUUGUUUCAUUUCUUCUAUAUAACUUUCCUUUCGGAACCUCAGAUCAUGGAAAAGAUGGACAUUUUUAACUUAGAAUUUCUGAAAAUUGAGAGAAUGUUUCAGUGUUUGGCUUUUGAUAAUCAAUUUUUCUCCCCUUCUCUUGUCCUCCCUUAAUCCCUGUAUAAUCAAAUGCUUAUUGUAUGUUAAUGGAAGUGGAUGGUCUCCUACAUCUCUUUCAUUUCCAAUAUUUUAUGAUUCCAUAAUGUGUUUUAUAAUAUGUAAGAAGUUAUAUAAAAGGUCCAAUUUAGAUGACCCAGUUCUUUAAUUUUCUUAAAUAUUGUAUAUUUCUUUUUGUUGUUUUCAUAUUUAUUCAGUGCUCUAACAGUUUACCUUUGAAUGGUAAUUUUUGCUUCUCAAAUGUAUUUUUACAUUUAUCUCAGAUUAGAGAUAGAUGUAGUAAUUUGCUGGUAAAAAUGACUCCAUCCCCAAACGUACACAGUUCAGCACACAUUUUUUACUAGCUUCUUUCUCUUCUUAAGUGUAGACGAGUAAAUCAAACCCUAAUUUGUAGUCUUUAUCGAUUUCUGAGAUGUACCGUUUCAUGCUGAAAUUUUAACAAAUCAACUCUACUGAAUCAGUUUGAGCUGACUCUAGCAAAUCCCUGGUAAUAUAAGGAUUAUCUCAAUUUUAGGAAACCAGAUUUCAUGGAAAUCAAUAUAAUUGCCCAAACCAUUGUCUCAUUUGGCAUUUAUUGUCAUAUUUGUUCAGAUUUUUUUUUCAUCUUACAAUGAAUUUCCAUUUUACCUGAAUAAAAUUGUAGCACAUUGUCGAAGUACUUUUUUUAUAGGGUGAGGGUAUAAGAAACCCUUGGAAUAUAUAAAUGCUAUAUAUAAGAAUUAGCAGAAUUAUAGCCAAAUUAAAGAAAUAACUUUAUUUUAUCCCAUGAAUUUGAUUUGAUUCUUAAUCCCACUAGUUUAAAUAAGCAGGUCGAAGGCUCGACAUUUGCUUCUUUUAAAACAAAUAAGUAGGUCAAUAGACAAGUUUUAAAAAUGGUUAUGCAGUAUCACAGACAUCAUUCUUGGAGUAGUAUGUUAGUAUAAUUAUUACAUUUUAAUUUAUUUAAUUUGAAUGAUUUUAGGAAUUUAAAUCAUUUUAGUAAUGAUACUCCAAUCAAAACCACAUUCUGGGUACACUUAUGUAUACCAGCUGAUUCGUUCCUGGAUGGAGCUGGGACUUGAAAACAUCAUAGUACUUUUUAUGGGAUAUUUUUUAUAACUGUAGUAUCAGGCCAAAGAUGUGAAAAUCUUAUGUGAAUUGUCCAAAUCAUUAAAUUACAAAGUAUCAAGUAGAAACCAAAAGCCUUAAUUCCAGCUAGCAGGAUCUUAAUGUAGCAUUUGGGUAAUUUUUUAGGACAUUCUUAAUUACACUUAUCCUUUGUAAUGAGAAAUAGCCAAAUACAAAUGAACAUAUAAAUAACAUUUCUAAGUGUAACAAUCAUGUUCUGUUGAAACUUGAUACUUACUCUACCUUUAAACAAAUAUGGCCCUUAGGGCAGGGAGGUUGUGGGAGAGCCAGAGAAUACCUACAACAUCAUAUCGUAGAAGGAGUACCAGUCCAUAAAUUGAAUGACUUGGGAAUACUGUAUAGUCUAAGAAAAGUAAGAUGAAACAAUUGGAAAGCAACACCCAGCAGACUAUAUUAAAUGUUCCAGAAGGGGGAGGGGGGAGUAAUGUGGGCAGGCAUAGUUUGAGUAUUUUUUCCUCCUAACCAUAAUGUGUGUGUGUGUGUGUAUACACACAUUAUGGUUAUAUAUAUAUAUAUUAUAUAUAUAUAUACACACACAUAUAUAUUAAACUUAUCUUGAAUGUCUUGCAGAGAGCUUCAUUGUGACAAAAAUCUUUUUUUCCCUUUUUUAUUCCAAAUUUUAUAAAACCCAAUAAAACAAGCAUUUCCAUAUAUAAAGAAAAAUAUUGUACAUAAAUGAAACCAUAAAUCUCUUAAGUUUAGCUUACUUUUCUUCAUAUCUACAUAAUAAAUCUCAUCCACAAGAGUCCAAAUCCCUCCCCAUCCUCCCUGCAUCACAGGUUUCACCUGGGAGACCAACAUGUUCAUAUAAAUUUAGUUUUUGAUGUUUCACAUUUCAGUUCACUUUCUGGAGGUUAACAUUUAUUCUUCUAGCAUUAUUUCUGUAGCUGCAUAUAAUGUUCUGGUUCUGCUCAUUUCACUGGGUUCAUUAUCUCAUGUAGUUCUUUCCAGAUUCUUGAAAAAUCAACCUGCUUAAUGAUUCAUUUUUUUUAAACCCUUACCUUCCAUCUUGGAGUCAAUACUAUGUAUUGGUUCCAAGGCAGAAGAGUGGUAAGAGCUAGACAAUGGGGGUUAAGUGACUUCCCCAGGGUCACACAGCUGGGAAGUGUCUCAGACUAGAUUUGAACCCAGGACCUCCUAUCACUAGGAUUGGCUCUCAAUCCACUGAGCUACCUAGCUGCUCUUAGUUCAGUGAUUCUUAAGGCUCACUAAUAUUCCAUCACAAUCAUAUACCACAGUUUGUUUAGUCAUCCCCAAUUGAUGGGCAUCCCCUCAAUUUCCAAUUCUUUGCCACCCAUAAAGAGAACUAUUGCAAAUAUUUUAGAACAUAUAGGUUCUUUUUCUUUUCCCCUGAUCUCCUUGGGAAACAGACCCACCAAUGGUAUUAUGACAAAUAUCUGACAAACAGGAUAUCCAAAUAUUAUUAAAGAUGGAAAGAUUCAAAUGUUAAGUUACUAAUGAACAGAAACUUACUGAGCACCUACUGUGUGUGAAAUCUUGUGCUAGGUGCUAUGUGAGCAUCAAAGGAGAAUUAGACUAAGUCUUAUCCCUUGGGGAGUUUAUAGACUAGCAGGGAAAAUCAAACAGGUAACCGUGAAAAUAUAACAUCACAAGCUAGUACAAAAUUUGAUAUCCAAAUGUUAUUUUAACAACAACAAAAAAACAUGGUUGAAAGUCAUACGAGAUUACUUUUAAAGAAUUUAUUCCUUUACUAAAAUCUAGGUCAGGAUUCUCCUCUAAGCAGACACAUGGAUGCAGAUGUAAAAAUUCUUCCAUUAUUACAAUUUUAAAUGGCAUUACUUGAACUUUUAAAAAUUAUGAAACAGUAUAGAUUUCUUCCAUACUUUAUUUUCAGAACAAUUAUGAAUUCUGAAAGUUACUGCCCCCAAACCACUUUUCCCUCCUCUGCUUAAUUUAAUAGUUGUUUUCUGAAUAUGUUUAUGCUUCUAGAAAGCAAUUACAACUCUAACGUUGACUUUGUUCCUGCAACCCUGAGCUUCCCAGGUUCUUUUCCUUUCUUUAUAAUUGAAGAUAGGUGACCAUUUAUGUGGGAGUCAAAGGACAUCACCAGUAAUGCCAUUUUGGUCCUCAUCAAGAAUGAAGGACAACAGCUAAGGUGACUUAAACUCAGUUGUAAUAAACCAAAGGUCUCCCCUAAUUUAACAUCCUUAUUAAUUAAUUCAAUCUUCAAGUUUACAACAUUUCUCUACUUGAAUGACAUCACUGAUGAGGAUCUGUCUAUCUUUCCGUUCUCAAUGAAAUGGAAGCUUUGUGAGGGCAGGGCUUUAAAAAAUUAAUUUUCUUAAGUAAAUUAAAAUAAACAAAAUUUAAACACUUACUGGAUGAAUGAGUGAUCUUCUUAUGAAGUUUGUAGUUCCUAUUUGGAUCCCAAUACAUUUAUCAUGUAUUUCUAACUAUGGACAUCAUAUUCAGGUAUUGAUUGCCUCUGAUGAUUUAUAUCAAUCCAACAAAAGACUUGGGGCAGUGACAUCUUCCUUUGGAUGAUAAUUAUUAGAAUGUUGGCUCACCAAUUAUCAUGCAAAGAUUCCUGAGAAAAACACUUAUGUCUUUUAAGUCACCAACAAAAAUUUUGAUUUUUCAGUGGGAACUCAUUGCCAACAAAGCAUUUUCAUUUAAGUCUAAAGUCAUCAUGUUGCAAAUCAUAUUGACAUUUGUGAAAUGAACUGUCUACAAGUAUAGGAAACCCAGUAAGAUGCAGCCUAUAUUUGCUAACAUUUCUCAAAGUACUUUUGCUUUUUUGUUUUGGGGAUUUUAAAAGUUGCUUAAUCUGUACCAGAUUGAAAGACCUUCUAACCUAUAGGGUCAGGAGAACUGGGUUCAAAUCUCAUUUUCAACACUUCUACAUGUGUGACCUUGGUCAUGUUGCAUAACAUAUCUUUGCCUCAUCUUUCUUCACAAAAUGAGGGGAUUAGACCAAAUGGACAUCUAAGGCUUAUGAUCUUGAAUUAGAUUUCCUGGUUAUCUAAUUAUUGGUAUUUAUCUCAUAGUGCUUAUUCUUAGCUUUCAAGACUCAAUUGUAUAACUAGUAAUUGCUAUCUAAAGUGUUUGAAAAGGACACUUUUUAUUUCCUUAAAGUUUUUAGAUUACUAGGGGAAGAGAGAAGGUGGAAGGAGGAAGAUAGGGUUAUCAUAGUAAAAUCCAUAAGCCAGUUGUGUUUUCUUCCUCUUCACUGAGAAUAAUAAAUCUUGAAGAAUGAACAGGUGAUUUUGCAAUAGCAUCAAACUUGGAAGCCUCUCGGGUAAGUCUACAGCUUGGAGACUUGAGCCAUAGUAAAUUUCCAUAACCUAAGAGUUAUAGUUUAAUUUUAAAUGGAUAGACAAAAAUUGUACUCUUUUGCAGAACUUUGGGAGAAGUUGAGAUGAGAACCUGUCUCAUGUAAAUUGCAUACUCUAAUAAACUUUUUCAGUUUUAAUAAUUAUACAUCUCAUGGUGUUUCCACAAGAAAAUGAAUUAGAUUCUGGUACUUUUAAUAUAGCAGAUUACCUUUAUAACUGAUGUAAGAGAAAAGAACUACGUUUUAUGUUCAAUAUUUUAAAUAUGAGCAUUAAGAGUGUUUUGUUUUGUUUUUUUGUUAAAGAAAAUUCCUUUGGACAGAACACAGUACUGUGUUCUAGGGAGAUGAGAUUUUUAGUCCCAGUAUGGUCAUUAAUAAACUCACUCUGCAACAUUUAGCAAGUCACACAAUUUUUUGGGGACUCAGUUUCCAUAUCUAUAAAAUGAACAUUAGGUCCCUUUGAAACAGUAUCUCCUGAUGUAGUAAAGUGUGUUCUUUGCUAUCAGGGUAUCAAAGGCAGUGGUUGGCUAUUGUGCCUGGACAUUUCUUUUUUCCACUUAAGUUGAAAGCUUUUUUGCCCAGCAUUCUACGCUUUGUUGCUGGUACCAGGUAUAAAGGCUUUUUUAGUUUUUGAUUCUGCUUAAGUUGGAAAGUUGUAUUGGUGAUCAUUUAAGCCAAACUUUUCAUUUUAUAGUGAAACUGAAAUCCAGUGAGGUCCCAACCUCUUCAAGUUUGCCCUGCUAGUGAGUCUUAGAGCCACAGCCAGAAGCCAUUCUAAUGAGUGCUUGUCUACAGUUCUUUCCACUAGCUUAGCCCCUAUUGUAUGUUCUCCUACCUUGUAUUUGUAAACCUCCUCAUUUUUCCCACCUUCCCAUGCACUUGGGACAUGGGGAAAUCUAUCUUCUUGUCAUACUCAUGCCCUUUCACCUUGAUUUAUUUCUCUGUAUCCCUUUAGAAGAGAAAGCUCUAGACAAUGGUGAAAGCCUUGAUGACAACAAGGAAGAGUAUUAGGGGAUGGAUCUUGGCUGGAAGAUUCCCUUACCUGUAUCAGCAUGUGAGAACUGGCAGUAAUCCUAAAUUGCUCUACCUUCCUAGUAGAGCAAAGAUUCAUUUAUUUAACUUUUUUUUUAAGUUAUGGCCUCCUUUGGCAAUCUUGUGGAGAAGUUUACAGACCUCCUCUCAGAAUAAAGCUUUUAUUUAUUUACUUAUUUGGUGUAAGGCAACAUUUAUUUUACCCCACAGAUAAUGCAAAAUACAUAAAGGGCUCAAAGGAACCCAAACAUAAAAAAGAAA